ACUUUUAUUAGAGAUUGUUCUCACACUUUUCAAAACAGCUUUAUAUUUCUAUAAAAAUAAGUCCAGCUCGGCUUUCAGAGGCUGAUCAGAUGCAGCUCAUACAACUGUGAUUUAAUCUAUAUUCAUUAAUGAUCAAUUAGUGCUUUAGGUAUCCCAUGAACUCUAAAGUAUAGUGAUCAUUUCUUAACAGAAAGCAACAGAGCUUCGUGGUUCACCCUGCAUUCAUUCAUUCAUUGAGGGUUUAAUGAAUGGAUGAGUCAUAACUUACCCAGGUAUUGUUAUUAUAAAGUAUUUCCUUCUCCAAUCUAUUUACCUUCUUUACAAUACUCUGUGCUAUAUGUUUUUGCAGUGAGAUCCUUCAAAACACUGAGCUCACCUCAAAAUAUAUUCUCCAUUAGAGCUGUUCAGUGAGUUUUUUUGUGGCUCUACUAAGUGACAAUUUAUAUCAUUUACACCAGUGUCACGUCUUUAUGCUGCAGAUAUGUGUCUGCAAAUACUUACUGCUGUGGGAAUUCUAGAGUUGUCAGACGAAAACAGCGACUGAUGGAGGCAGACAUGAAGCACUGCACAUCCCCAGUCUAGUUAGUGACAAACACAAAGGCUGCUUUGCUUUGAGAGGCCAUCACGAUCCUCUUAUGCUUAUAUGGUCUUCUUCUUCUUCGUCUUCCUUUAUUUACUGCGCAUAAUGAAAUACUAAAAUGAAUUCUGUAUAAUAAUCACCAUGCUUACAUUUCAGCAAAAAUAUUUACAGAAUUAUAAUUUAUUCUAACAAAGAUGGCAGCUAUGUCUGACACAUGACAAACGUCUUUUUUGUGUUCAAUCAUUUUCCAAAUCUGAGUACUGACAUUCAGCUUCAGGUGAUAUGAAUGUCUCUGCAAAAUUAUAAAAAUUAGGAUAGUGCGCAUCUAUAAAGUGUGUUAACACUAAACUGCGGUUUUUGUUGCGGAAAUUUAAAAAAUGUCGUAAACACGACUGAAUAAGUAAUGUUUAAAUACUCUGGCCGUUUUAGAUCAAGACAGAAACAUCUAAAUAUAAUUAUUAGUUAUUUUUAUCAGUAUGAAGUCUUGUUUUAGCUUUAAUGGGGUUUGAACGCAGCAACUGUUUUCACGUUGUUGGGUAAGAACAAAGAUAAAUAAUGAAUAGUUUUCUUUAAUGGAAUUUAAUGUGAGCUUGUGUGUGCACAAUGUGUCACAUAUCUGUGAUAUUAUAUUUUUAUUCCUCAUAGAAUGUGGGAAUAAUGAAUUAUGGGCCAGGUGUGUAGGAGUUUGACUCCAGUUUCACUUUCCUCUCUGGGUUGGAUAUAAACAUGAAUACAGCUAAAAACGAGGCCAGUAAGCUCGACAGAUAAAUAUUAAACUACUAUGUACAGAUACAAUAUAUAUAAAUAUGUAUACAUGUAUAAACAACAACAUUGUGGACAGAAUUAGACAAUAAUCUCGCGCGCUCUGCUUAAACCUGAUCAUCACGUUCCAGCUCUUUUAGGAUCAUUUUCUCCUUUUAUGGUAAACAAGGACUUCACUUCUGUGAUUAUCCCCCAUGCAUUCCUCAGAAACAUAAGAAUAGUUCAUAGAGCAUCCGCUAUUUUAGAGCCAUGUUCAGGGCCCAAACCGAGGGGAAAUUCCACUUCGUUCAACUGGACCGUAAUUGGAUGCAGCUUUGGUAGUCAGGCCGCCUCGGCCUCCUGCCCGCUCUGAAACAUGCGUGGUUCUCAUUUGAAGCAGCGGUAAAAUAUGGUGGAGAGAGCCUUUUAAUGCAGCCUGCAGUUCAUUUUCCAAUCAUGAAGAAAGAAACAAAAGAAAGAAAGAAAGAAAGAAAGAAAGAAAGAAAGAAAGAAAGAAAGAAGUUCGUGGGCGUGGUCUGUCCAUGAACCUCAGACUGCCAUUGGCCGCCUAACAGGAAGCGUUUCCAGCCAAAGUCUGUCUCUCCCCCCAUCAACCCAAAAUAAACCCCCUCCUCUUCGAAAAUGUUUCCACAGCAAUGUCAGUCAGACUGCAAUACAUCUCCAAGGUGCAUCUCCAUUAACUCUCCCGCCCCUCCACAAACAGACUCAAAGGUAGUCAAAUCACGCGCUCCUGUGUAAAGGGACUAAUAUAAUCAGAGUAGGUGUGCGCACGAGGAUGACGCGCCAGCAGCAGCUCGAGCUACACCCUCUCCAUGUCACCUCAGUGUCAGCCGCCGUCAGGUGGGCUCUCGAGAUGCCGCAGAGCCUCCUCAGAGGUACCGAAGGAGCCAGAACCAAAACACGUUUGCCCUGGAUGCGCGUAACGCACGUGUUUACAGAAUUCCAACAAAAACGACCCCCCCUCCUCCAUCCACCCAACCCCAACAGCAACAUCUUCCUCCUCCUCGUCCUUCUCUACCCACAUCACGCAGGAGCCGAACCGGCAGCUCAGGUCCAGACUGCCGCUUGCAACGGGGACACGUGUUCCGUUUUGGGAGCCUGGACGCCGUGCCAGCGCGUCACCAUCACCACUGUCAUCAUGGAUGCGUCUCUCAGGGUGGUUCCGGUGCGCAUGGAGGCUGCUCGCCGUCACAGCUGCGACGAACCUUUUCUCUUUAAACUCCACAACGAUCUGCGAAUUUGCAGUCCACUACAGCCGGAUCUGUGGUGGCGGAGAUGAUCCGGUGCACACCAUCCCCACCACGAGCUGCCUCGGGCUUCCUUGUGGAUGAGAGCGACCCGUUAUCGCUGGACUCAGAGGAUGAUGACAGGCUAUUUGUUGUCGAGAGGAAGAGUGCUGCUGGUGCUCCAUGACAGACGAUAAGAGGAAUUAACGGGAAGGAGUAUCGAGGGAUGUCAUUCGGUUCCGGUCCAAAAACAGUCGCAGGGACAGCUGCAGCAGCACGGAGGAGGACGGACAGGAGGACCGGGACCACAAACACAAGGUGAUCCCGGUCAGCUGUGUCUGGUUCCGGCGGCGGAUUCCCCGGUCGUCGGCGCCUUGUUGUCGGCCCGGGCUAAGAGGAAGACGGCAGUGCUAUUCCCGCACAGGGCAGCAGCGCCCGGAGAUGGAGCUUGGCUGCUCUUCAGCGUGUACUUGAACCUACAGCGCCGCCUGGAGAUCAGCAGGAGCGUCGACCUGACCUGAUAUGAAGGUGGUCAUUUUGAUUUGUCUCUGGUGGGUUGGUAUAUUAAGAUAAAAAAAAAAAAAAACAUCAAACAUCUAAUUUGGACUCUUGGAUUGGACUGAGGAGUGUCGGCCUGUUACCGCCCUGCAUCGAGGAUUCAGCUCCGAGCAAACGCAGCCUUCGAGGAGGAGGAGACGGCCUCAGAGGAGAGUAUAAGCUGGAUAUGUCGGUUAGAUGUUCAAGACGGUGCCUGAAGAGUGGAGUCAGCUCUAACAUAUCAUCUUACAGGACAUAUUGAAUCAUCUCACCGAGCUGAAAUAAGAUGUUGGGUGGUACUACAUGUGCAUAUGAUGGGGGAUCCUCGUCUACGAAAGCAUCCCCCGAAAUGAUCCCUAAAUUAAAUUCUUCUCGAUUUCAUCGUGUAUCAUCACCUUGCUUCUCGUGAAGCAACAGGAACAGCUCGAGAGGUUUUCCAAACUUCUUUUCGCAUCGGGGUCACGCAGUUGGAUAUUCAUUAAGCCAAGCAGGAACCUGGUGCUGAAGGGAUUUUACUUGUUAGAUAUGAUUUACUGCAGCAGUCUGACCUCCCGCUGCUGGAUUCAGUCACAUGCACUCUAAUCAUUUGAUUAUAACCAGAGGACGGCAAUACUUCCAGUCUUGCAACUAUCACAGAGUUAUUGUACUUGCGUACAAUACGAUUAAAAUGUAAUUCACUUAGCAUGGAUUUGCAUUUGUCAGUCUUUCAGAUGACUAUUUGCAUUAAUUAAACUUAGUCUGCGUUCUUUAGGUGACUUUGUGGGGCUAGCCUUGGAAUGUUUUGGGAAGGGUAAGAGUGAAACUGAUGAAGCAGUCUAAGUCAGAGUUUGUGCUAAUGUCUUCUGUAAAAUAGAAUCAAUAAAAAACAGCUAAAUUACUUAA